rnacentral:rRNA from 1 species
AACGAACGCUGGCGGCAGGCCUAACACAUGCAAGUCGAACGAGUGGCGGACGGGUGAGUAAUGUCUGGGAAACUGCCUGAUGGAGGGGGAUAACUACUGGAAAAGGUAGCUAAUACCGCUAACCAUCAGAUGUGCUCAGAUGGGAUUUGCUAGUUGGUGGGGUAACGGCUCACCAGGGGGACGAUCCCUAGCUGGUCUGAGAGGAUGACCGGCCAAACUGGAACUGAGACACGGUCCAGACGCCUACGGGAGGCAGCAGUGGGGAAUAUUGGACAAUGGGCGAAAGCCUGAUGCAGCCAUGCCGCGUGAAUGAAGAAGGCCUUCGGAUUGUAAAGUACUUUUAGCAGGGAAGCGUUACCCGCAGAAGAAGCACCGGCUAACUCCGUGCCAGCAGCCGCGGUAAUUC